AACGCUAGCUACAGGCUUAACACAUGCAAGUCGAGGGGCAGCAUGAACUUAGCUUGCUAAGUUUGAUGGCGACCGGCGCACGGGUGAGUAACGCGUAUCCAACCUGCCUGUUACCACGGCACAGCCCGUCGAAAGGCGGAUUAAUGCCGUAUGUGGUCCUAAGCGGGCAUCUAAUUAGGACUAAAGGAUUGGCGGUAACGGAUGGGGAUGCGUCCGAUUAGCUUGACGGCGGGGUAACGGCCCACCGUGGCGACGAUCGGUAGGGGUUCUGAGAGGAAGGUCCCCCACAUUGGAACUGAGACACGGUCCAAACUCCUACGGGAGGCAGCAGUGAGGAAUAUUGGUCAAUGGGCGAGAGCCUGAACCAGCCAAGUAGCGUGAGGGAAGACUGCCCUAUGGGUUGUAAACCUCUUUUGUGCGGGGAUAAAGUGAGGGACGUGUCCCUCAUUGCAGGUACCGCACGAAUAAGGACCGGCUAAUUCCGUGCCAGCAGCCGCGGUAAUACGGAAGGUCCGGGCGUUAUCCGGAUUUAUUGGGUUUAAAGGGAGCGCAGGCCGUCCUUUAAGCGUGCUGUGAAAUGCCGCGGCUCAACCGUGGCACUGCAGCGCGAACUGGAGGACUUGAGUACGCACGAGGUAGGCGGAAUUCGUGGUGUAGCGGUGAAAUGCUUAGAUAUCACGAAGAACUCCGAUUG
rnacentral:rRNA from 1 species